GAUUUAUAUGUAUUAUUAUCAUAGAUAUUUGAUACUCGAAUGUUAAAUUUUGGUGUGAAGAAAAAUUUAAAAUGUAUGUGCAAUGCUUUGCUUCAGUGGGUGGGUUUUGUGAUUUAGUGACUUUUAGCUUUUGAGUGGAGGGAAAAAUGACAGGAUGUCAAAAAGAAGUGAAUGACACUUAAACAGGUGCAAUAUACAAUAGAGAAGAAUUGGUCUUAGCUUCUCUGGCGUGUAUAAUCCCUUACCUUGUACAUAAGUAUAGAAAGCGAAGUAAAAAAAGAGGACGGUACGUUUUCAUCGCGAUGAAAGGAAAUAGAAGAGUCUCUCAGUAGGACUAUAGGAUAGCAAUAGGGAAAAGUGUCCCCGUUAGAAGUAAAGGUAUAAAGUAAAAGAUAAAAUAAUCAAUAGUGUACUCCGAUGGAGGAAUAAUUCGAUGGCUUUUGUGAGAGAUAAAACAACUUGUCAGACUGAAAAAAAUAGUCAGUGAAGCGGUGAGAUAGUUCCAAGCUGUUUAGAAUCAUUACAAAAAAAAAAAAAAAAAAAAAAAAACAAAAAAAUAAAAUGAUGAAAAAAAAAAAGAAAGCGGUAAGAAGUGCGAGAAAGGGAAAGAUAGAGGUGCCAGUGGAAAAGAGAAGGCAAUUGGUAAUGGUGGAAUCCGGGAACCCAGAACCGUUCGAACGGUUGGCUGUGCCGCAGACGCAAGGUCAUUGUCCUUGGGGGUUCAACGACCCUCACGAGGAGAGGGAUGUGUCGACGCGGUGGUGCGCUAUGUCGCGGUAAUGGAAAACGUCGUGUACGCACACACAACACCCUAUGAGGAUCACUCUAUAAAUUGAUGCAUGUAUAUCCAUAAAUAUAUGCAUGUAUGCAUGUGCAGACAUAAGUGUAAGUGAUUACGUAUACUUGUAACCAGACUACUGUGUGUAAAGUAUAAGAGACGUCUAUCGCCGAGCCGACAGCCCUUGCUAGCUGGGGUCUUAUACUUAUACUCUACCAUCAGAGGGAUGUGUUCAAGUGUUGUCUGUAUACGAGGUUUUGUUCGGAGGAUUUAAAAGCAGACGUGUAGGCCUAUGCCUCUCUGUUUCUGUUGACGACAAGAGGUACCGAGGUAGAGGGAUGUAAAUAGCUCGCGUGACGCGAGGAGAUGAACAGACGGAUGAAAAGGAACGACGAGAAAUAGAAGACGUCGUCCAAGCACAACUCAUUCGCUGCUUCUGUGUCCCGCCGACCACUCUGCAAGUUUGCUAAAAAAAAAAGUAUGUGUACAACAAAAAAAAAAAAAAAAAAAAAAAAAAAAAGCAGGAAAAUGAGGAAGAAACUUUUUACUCAAAAUAAUGAAACUAAAAUCUGGGACUUUUGGGGAUGGAUUUAUUUUAUUUAGCUCCGUUUUUAAUAAGCGUGUAAAUGCCACCUGUUGAAACAAAUCUAUUUUAGUGGGUCGCCCGGAAAAUUGGCUGUUGGAGCUGUAUUGUUCUAUUGCUAUUGUAUUAUACAUUUGAGUUGGGUAUAUAGCUCAAGAAAAUUGCAUGUCGGGAAAUAUGUUCCGGAGUACGUGGCACGUCGACACGGCGCUUUGCCCCACGAUGAACGCGAGAGAGCCAGGGAGCAAUGUCCCUCGCAAGAGAGCCAACCCCCUUCCUAACGUUCAAGUAUGACAAGACACGUGGUCCAUUUUUUUAUUUUCACACGGUGUGCGUUGACACUGAUGUCAUGAUUCAAGGGAGAACUUGCAUGCAAAUGUAUAAUGCAAAUUACACGCGUGGCACUAGCACGAGUUGAUGUAAUUUGUCAAUUGUACUCCGUAAAGCAAAUGAAAUAAAUAAAAAAAAAAAAUAAAGUAAAAAAAAAACCGCUAAU